CAAUAAAAAUACAUGACGUAUAAAAAAUAAGGUCCAUACAAAUUGGGUCAAACUACAAGGCAAAACAAGAUGUAAUCCAGCCCAACAAAAAUGAGGAUGGGCUUUACAUACAUCCAUAAAUAAAAUAAAAUAAAAUAUGCAUUUCCCUACAAAAGAGGGAAGAAACAUACAAAAUCAGCGGCUCCCCCAUUUCCUGCAACAAAAAAAGAAAAGUGGAGUCAGUUUAAGAGAAGGUGGCGAAAAGAAAGGCCUUUAUCCUCCCCCACGUAAGAACUCUGGAAACCUCCUAAGAUGCCUAUAAACAGGCAUCAACCACAGCAAAAAAAGGGAGGACAGGAAAAAAAGAGGGAGACGCUGCAGAAAUUGCAGCACACGGAGGACGAAAGAAAAGGAAAGGUACGCUGCAGAAAUUGAGAUAGAAAUUGAGCAACGAAAGAUGAGACUUUCAAGGAAGAAGAGCAAACUACAAGCAACAAUCAAAAGACAAAAAAAAUCCCAAACAGAAAUGGCAGUCGUACCACGUCUCCAACCGUCGUCUCCGGUGGUUUUCCAGAUGGAACCCGUGCACUACGCGGCUUGAAGGAAAUGGGUUUGGUAAUGCCGUGUUGCAUAAAACCAGAAGAACCCGAAGGAAGUCGCAGGAUGUGGCUUGAAGGAGAUGGGUUUGGUGAUGCCGUGUUGCAUAAAACCAGAAGAACCCGAAGGAAGUCGAUGUGGCUUGAAGGAAAUGGGUUUGGUGAUGCUGUGUUGCAUAAAACCAAAAGAACUCGAAGAAAGCCACUCACAAAGAACAACCAUUAUCACAAUGCUCACUCCGGGCGGCAUGAAUCCCACCAAAACGCAGCAGAUCCGCUUCCCACGGCCUCCUGCAAUCUCUUGCGUGAAGUUUCUAUAUCUUUCUUUCUCUCUUCGGAGAUACAACAGAGAAGCAGCAAUCUCUUGGGUGUCUAAAGAAGUUUUGACAUCUUUCUCUUUUCAGAAAUGCGACAGAGAAAGAGCAACUUCUUGGGUGUUUAAAGAAGUUUAAGAGAUACAACAGAAAAGAAACUAUCAUCCUCCACGAUCGAACAAAUGGGAAGGAAGAAACCAUCGUGCCCAGCUAUGGUCCUGAAACCCGCCGAUAAUGUAAGGAUAGUUUCGAACAAGGCAACAACAAUGACGCUGCGGCAACACCUGGACAAAUAAGAUUUUGAAAUUGAGAUUUCAAGUUCUUUAUCCCCGAAGCAGUACCUUCCAUCCAUACUUUUCGUCCAUGUCAAGAAGAAAAUGAGCAGCUCGUACCGUUCCCUCCUUCCGCGCAACCGUUGGUUAUGAGUGUUUAAAGAAAAUGGCCAGUCCUUCAAUUUUCUUCCGUAGCAGAGUGAUUAUCAUCACGAUUUUCUGGUGCCCAGAGAACUGCGGCUGCAAGUUUCUUUAAAAAGAAAGGGAAGAGCCCUCGUGUUUUUUUUUUCCAAGUUCACACAUGGUGGGAGAAGUUGCCUCAAAGAUUUUUUUUUUUUUGUUUAAAAGAAAGUUCUCAGGCUGUUGUAUUGUA